rnacentral:lncRNA from 1 species
CCUACCUCCAGUAAAUCCUAAGAUCACGUUGAUGACUCUAGCCAUAGGUCAGUUGUUGUUGUUGUUUUCCUCCUACAGCUGGCAUUGGGAAGGCUAUUCGACCACUCAAUUCUCUCAGUCACAGACAUACUUCUUGAGGUAUCCUCUUUGAAUUAGAGCCUUGAUUUCAUUCUAUAGCUGAAGGCAAUCCUUAGUGCCAUGGCUAUGGUUCUAAUGGAAUCAGUAGUACUUCCUUUUGCUACACCUUAUUACUUUAGCCUUUAUUGGUUCAGGCCAAC